UUUUGCCUCUGUCAUCAUUAAAGGAAAUGAAAGGGAGGCAACUGAGAGACUCCCUUGUAUGACCACAGGAAAAAUAAGAGGAUGAAUGAUUAUGGCAAAGUGUCAGUCAAAAGGAUUUAUCUCCAAAGGUCAAGUUCAUUGAUUGGCUACGAUUUCAGGUGGCAUUUUCUGCAUGUAGGAUGGGUGGCUUCUUUCAGACUGCCCAAAUCACAAAAUGUGAGUGUAGUUGAAAUAUUCUUUGACACACAACAGGAAAUAAGAUGUACACUCUAACACUGCAAUAAAGAUUUGAAAAUAAAAGAGAGAAUUCUCGAAGGUGAGAUGGGAACCAAUGCACUAAUGAACGUGAAGGAACCACAGGAUGUUAUGAAAUCAAAGAACAUGAAACCAAAAUUCUGUUAUUAAAUAUUUUCUUGAAAAGCAAAUUAAUUGUUAUAUAUUUUGAAUUCUCCCUGCUAGUCUGCUGGGAUUUGACAAUAUUGUUACUCUGUUAUUUCAAUGGUUUUUCUGGUUUUCAGUUAGUUCUUUUUUUUUUUUUUUUUUUUUUAAUUUGGAAGUUAAUAUAAAUUGAAAAGAAAUAUACCUACCUGGACUGCUCUUCUCCUGAAGGGGUCACUGUGCUCAACAUGUGUGUGAUUACUUCAGCUGCUCCAGACAUUCAGAAAAAGUUGUACAAGAUAACCAUAGGACCACAAUUUUCCCAGACCCAGCUGUGGGGAAAGCUUGGACAGUUUUGAACAGUUACUGAGCAACAGUUAUGAACUAUUUGGAAAACUGCCCAAGGGCUUCAGAGCAUUCUAGAAGCUCCAGGCCAUUUCUGUUGCUGGCUAGCAAAGGCUAAUCAACUAUCAGGGCCUCCUAGUAGAUUCUCCCAAUUUAGUUUUCUGCCUGUGUCCCCAUUGUCCCCCCGGCCCGCUGUUUCCUGACCCUACACAGUCCAGUGCUAUUAUUCAUCGUAGUGAGGAAACUUUCCAUUCAGUCUGCUCUAGGGGCUCCCAUGCUCACUGGGAUGACAGAACUGCAAAGAAAGGGCAAUCCUGACAGCCAGGACUUCACCAGGAAGUGUGCAGGGGAAAUUCGAGAUUGACUGCAAGCCGUGGCCCCACACAGAGAGUCGUCUGUAAUGUUGGGAAAAGGACAUCCGGGGCACUCAUUGCCCCUGAGAGGUAACAGGCUUGCCCAAUCAGCUCCGGGGCUGCUGCACACUUACCCUUAGGCACGACAGCCCUGCUCUCCAAGCUCCCCGACUCUUAGACACCUUCUCAGAGUUCCCAGGGACAGCCCCAUGCUAAAUAAGGAGAGGGCACAUCAUCUUUCCCCCCUCUGGGGGCUUUCAACUCCCUCUGGCCAAGUUCCACUCCCACAGGCAAGCCAGCAUCCAGUUCUCUUUGAUGUGCAUCAAACUGCUCCCUCGGGAAAGAAUAGCCUCCACUCCCUGUGUCCAACCUGCGAUCUCCCUGGACACAAGCUGGCAGCAAUCAUUAGGCCGGUUUGUCAGCCUGGCCAAUAUGUACCCAAGGAAAGCCUGAUGGUGUUGGGGACCACCCCUCCCCCGCAGCUCUCUCUUGGAACACUUGCUCCUAGGAAGCCUGCCUCCCCUGCCAGAUAGACUUUUCUCAGAGGCCCCAGGGCAGGGCUCUGGAACCACUUCUGGUUUCAGUGGAGAUCUCUUCCAUUUAGACCAUAUUUUGGCAUGAGCUUUGAGAUGCACACCCCAUGGGUCGAAGCCCAGUUUUUGAGAUAGGAUUUUCCACUUUUCCCUGAGAUUUAUUAUCAAAGAGUGAGUUUUUAUACCAGAAGCUGGAGUUUGCGGCUUUGUCAAAUAUUUUCUAGAUAUAGGCCUUGAUCACUGGAAUCUAUUCCUCUGAUCAACCACUCUGUUAGUUAAGAGUAAAUGGUUUGGAGAACUGCUGCUUAUAUUAUACUUUUAGGUUUGGGAAUGCCAAGUCCCUAUCCUUUUUUUUAUUUUCCUUCUUUUUUACUUAAGUUUUUUAUUUUCAAAACAUAGAAAUUUGUAAUUUUUCAACAUUAACCUUUACAAAACCUUGUGUUCCAGAUUUUGCUCCCGUUGUCCCCCUCCCUCCUGUAGAUGACAAGUGAGUCAAUAUAUGUUAAUCAUGCUAAAAUAUGUUAAAUUCAGUGUAUGUAUACAUAUUUAUAUAAUUAUCAUGCUGCAUAAGAAAAAUCAGACACAAAAGGAAAUAAAAAUAAGAAAGAAAACAAAAUGCAAGCAAACAGCAACAAAAAGAGUGGAGAUGCUAUGCUGUGAUCCACUCUCAGUUCCCAGUGCUCUCUCUCUCAGUAUAGAGGGCUCUCUUUAUCACAGGAUUAUAGAAACUGUCUUGAAGCAUCUCAUGCUUGGAAAGAGCCAGGAACAUCAGAAUUGAUCAAGAAUUAUUGUAUAAUCUUGCUGUUGUACAAUGUUGUACAAUGACCAGUCCUGGUUUUGCUCAUUUCUUUUCUUUUCUUUUUUUUUUUAUUUGCAGUCAUUUUUUAAUUAUAACUUUUUAUUUACAAGAUAUGUGCUUGGGUAAAUUUUUAGCAUUGACAAUUGCAAAACCUUUCAAAUGUUUUCCUCCUUCCCCCCACCGCUCUCCCAGAUAGCAGGUAGGUCAAUAGAUGCUGAAUAUGUUAAUAUGUUAACAACAAUAUAUGUAUAU
ensembl:lncRNA